UAGCUACACCCUAAUACAGCAGCGGUCCCUUAGGACUGGAAAUGAGAAACACCGAUUUACAGUCAUGUUUGAAUAACCCGAAAAAGAAAGGGAAGAAGAUAGUGUUAUAAUAUCCAAGCCUGAAGCUCCUCCUUUUCAUUUACCGAGGGCGUUCAGCAAAUGAUGGAUAACAUCAAACGGGAGGCUGCAUUGAUGCUAACCGCGCUCGCAAAACGUGCUGUGGAGAACGGAGCCCUCUGCUGUAAAAACAGCCGGCACCAGGACAAGUGAGGAUGGAGAGGAGUGUUUGACAAGCAGAGUGGCUCACACGGCUUCAGAGAGAGAGUGUGUUUGUGCUUCCGAGUGGCUUAAAUCCCUGGAAGGAAUUCUACCAGCCCCACGAAACUAUCUGCUUCAAAGGACAAAGCCAAGAUAAGCUAUUGGCCCAAUGAGAAGGGUCAAAGGUCAUUGGAGUGACUGCUCAAGGAGAGGAUGCGAGAUGACAUCAAGGAAGCUUAAACUGAGGAAGGAAGCAGGAAACUGGAACACUAUAACACAAUAAUACAAUAAUAUUGGACUGCAGACUCAUAAAAAAAUGACUACAAGAUUUAUUACUGUUGAUUGAGAUCACUGAGUCACAAUGUUUGUGCUGCACAGAAUCAUAUAUCCAUAACACACCCACGCACACACACACACACACACACACACACACACGCACACACACACACACAAACCAGGAAGACUGUUCUUAAAUAAAUAAUACAAUAUUUUAAAAAAUGAAUGCAUUGUUUAGUAACACUGGGUUAUUCUCCAGCUUUUUCUUAUUGCGGGAUUAAUUGUAAGCAGUCUGUUGUCUGUAUCCAUGUACUAAAUUGUUUGGUUGUGAUGUGAGUGUAUGCUCUGUGGCAGCCAUGUUGUGUUGCAGCUAAACAGAAAAGCUGCCUCCGAAGCAGAUCUUUUAUAGUAGUUGAGGUUUUAUCGUAACUUUAUUGGUUGCUAAAAUGGCUGUAAUUAAGAUAAUAAUAACAGGAUUAAUAAAUUGUGUAUGUGAAUACUUA